GUCAGUAUGGCCGAGCGGUCUAAGGCGCUGCGUUCAGGUCGCAGUCCAGUACUCUGGGCGAGGGUUCGAAUCCCUCUUCUGACA
rfam:Daphnia pulex DAPPTscaffold_297_Cont8443, whole genome shotgun sequence.